rnacentral:rRNA from 1 species
GACAGAGGGUGCAACCGUUGUUCGGAAUCACUGGGCGUAAAGCGCGUGUAGGCGGCUUCUCAAGUCGGGUGUGAAAUCCCAGGGCUCAACCCUGGAAGUGCAUUCGAAACUGGGUAGCUAGAGUACUGGAGAGGAAGGUGGAAUGCUUGGUGUAGAGGUGAAAUUCGUAGAUAUCAAGCGGAACACCGGUGGCGAAGGCGGCCUUCUGGACAGAUACUGACGCUGAGGCGCGAAAGCGUGGGGAGCGAACAGG